rnacentral:snoRNA from 1 species
UUGCACGUCGAAGUGUCUUCUCAUUCCUGUGGAAGCGGGAAUACAUGCUACACUAAAAAAGGAGUUCUCAGGGCUGCCAGCCUUACAGUAGAAAUUGAGUAGUAGUAUAUUUCUCCUGCAUUA